rnacentral:rRNA from 1 species
CCUACGGGAGGCAGCAGUGGGGAAUAUUGCACAAUGGGCGAAAGCCUGAUGCAGCAACGCCGCGUGAGUGAUGAAGGCCUUCGGGUUGUAAAGCUCUGUGGGGAGGGACGAACCGCUGCUGGUGCAUAGCCAGCAGCAUGACGGUACCUCCUUAGCAAGCACCGGCUAACUUCGUGCCAGCAGCCGCGGUAAU